AUACAAUGGUUGGUACAACGAGUUGCGAGUCGGUGACGGCGAGCUAAUCUCUUAAAGCCAAUCUCAGUUCGGAUUGUAGGCUGCAACUCGCCUACAUGAAGUCGGAAUCGCUAGUAAUCGCGGAUCAGCACGCCGCGGUGAAUACGUUCCCGGGCCUU
rnacentral:rRNA from 1 species